rnacentral:rRNA from 1 species
AGAAAAUAGAUACCCAGGUAGUCCCAGCUGUAAACGAUGCAGACUAGGUGUUUGGACGGCCACGUGCCGUUCUAGUGCCGCAGGGAAGCUGUUAAGUCUGCCGCCUGGGGAGUACGAUCGCAAGAUUGAAACUUAAAGGAAUUGGCGGGGGAGCACCACAAGGGGUGAAGCUUGCGGUUUAAUUGGAGUCAACGCCGGAAAUCUCACCGGGAGCGACAGCAGUAUGAAAGCCAGAUUAAAGGUCUUGCUAGACGAGCUGAGAGGAGGUGCAUGGCCGUCGCCAGUUCGUGCCGUGAGGUGUCCUGUUAAGUCAGGCAACGAUCGAGACCCGCGUCCUCUGUUGCAACCAGCUUUGAGCUGGGCACACUGAGGAGACCGCCACUGAUAAAGUGGAGGAAGGAGCGGGCCACGGCAGGUCAGUAUGCCCCGAAUCUCCCGGGCCACACGCGAGCUGCAAUGGCAGGUACAAUGGGUUCCGACCUCGGAAGGGGUAGGCAAUCUCGAAAGCCUGCCGUAGUUGGAAUUGA